CAAAUUUGUUUAUGACAAGCAAGCUAAAACAAAGGAGCAGAAAAUUACUCCUGAAUAGAGCCAAAAAUUUGUCAUUUAAAAGACAUGGCUUCUUUGUGGUGAUCCAAACUUUUUAAUGACAUUGUCGCGAGCAGUUCUUUUGAGCGAUGCUAAGACUCGUCGACACGAGAUCGAUAAUUGGCCGUAUCGACUUUCGAUUUAUCAAGGCACGCACGAAUAUGGAUCGCCCUUCUGUCUUGUCUCACGAUAGGACCGCAAUCAAGACGAGCGGACAGUGUUUACGAAGCGUCGCAUCACCGACGAGCUAAUGGCUCGAAGACAUUAAGUUAAUUGCUCGGCACGUCGUACCUGUGUACUCGCAUUUGCAUGCACGACGAGCUCAUCUUUCUUUCUCUUAUUUGCCUUCUCUCUCUCUCUCUCUCUCUUCACUCUCCUGUUUCCUACUGCUUGCCAGUGUCACGUAAUGUUCACUGUAAUGGAAACAUCGUAAAGAACAUGGGUGUCCCCGUCGAGUAAAUUUCCCGCGGAAAGAAUCUCAUCUUUAUUUCGAAUGCUCAAUCGACUAAAAUAAAAAUUUGCAGCCUGGUUCCCCGAGCGCAAUUUUACAAACUUUCGUUUCAUUUGUGUUUGGUAUCGAUUAAAUUUCCAGAUACAUCUCCAAAUUCGAUGAAAUGAUACUAAAUUUCAUGAGAUAUUAAAAUUAAAGAAAUUAGUUAUAAUAAAUAAUAAUAUAAAUACAUCCGAAAUACCGUAUAUACGUUUAAUUUCAGGAUUAUAACAAAUAAUACAUAAAUAAAAAGUAAUUAAAAUAAUAUUUCCUAAAAUCUGUGCAAGUACACACACACACGCACACAUUUAUUUAAAAAAAAGACGUAUACUUAUUAACAGAUAAUCAGAGAUCGUCCCACCAUCCCAAAAGUGUUCUUUGACAUGCCCGUUCGGACAGUGUUCCACCUAGUAACAAAUAUCCUAAACUCGUAAAAUAGGAAAUAUGUAAAUAUGAUGUCUAGUGUAAUUUCAACAUGCGCCAUUGCGCACGCCCACGCUCGCCCCUUUACGCGUAAAAGGAAAAACAACCCUGCCGUAGUUGGAGGGGAUUACGGCGCCUCCGUCGCUGAUUUUUCCUGCCCGUCGAACCGUCUACGUGUAUUUACAUAAAAUGGCGAGUCGUCGGAAUUUUUAAAUCAAAUUCCUUAUCGAACAAGCGCGAACUCGCGCAAAAGGGGAGGCAGGCGGGCUGGUAGGUCGACGGUGCGAAAAAAGGUGAGUCUCUAUCUACCACCAACGAGAUAACGAGCUCGUUCCUUUUCCACGUUCCCCCGGCACCCUGAGAGACUCGCCACCCUCGUCGGAGCUCUUCCUUCUCUCUCGCUCUUCCUGCAGCCGAUCUUUUCUCCUCGCUUCCGUUCGCUCUCUGCGAACCCGCUUUCACCUCGCGACUUUCCAAGCCGUGACCCAAUGCGGGAAAUGAGAAAACGAUAAGAAAAUAUACCCUCGAAGGUUGCGCGAGUUAAGAGGAGACUCGGAGGUAUAAACGGGCAGAAUCACAUGAUGAUGUGUUUAGGAAGCACAAUGUUUUAGCCGAUGUCUUGGGUAGUUUUUUACAAGAAAUACUGAUACGACAUUUAAUCUAAUAAUUUCGGAAUGGUCACACUAGAGAAAAGACUUAUCGUUCUAAUUUCGCUGCUAGCCACACAGCUGUUAUCAUUCAGUCUGUGGUCAGCUUUAGUUGUGUUUGCAGGAGAUUUGACGUUUAGUAGAAAAACAUCAUAAUUGUGGAAAUCUUAUAUUAUACACUAUCUUUAUCUUGGCGACUUUUUUCAGACAAGCAGAGAUAAUAAGAAAGCGAGAUAACAACACUACAUAAUCAAAUAACUGUUUCUCUUAGAACGUGUGACACUGCUUUAGCAUAAUUCUCUUGUUAUAAUUCUACUGCGUAAGCGUGCAGCAAUAUCUUGCGCGCGAUACGCACAAAAGUAUUCGUCGAGAUGAACAAAAGGCGGAGCGGAAGGACAUGGAUAUACGCGAGCGAAAGAGAAUAAGAAAUCGAGGAUGGAGGAAGAGGAGGAGCCAUUGAGGACAUAAAUCUUCGAAGCUUCCUUAUCAAAGACGGUCUCUUCUUCAAGAGCUGUCGGGCAAGAAGAAGAAGAAGAAGAGAGAGAGAGAGAAGAAACGAAAGGAAGAGAGGUCACCCUCAAGUUGAGGAAAACAGGAGUGCUAUCGAAGAACGAGAGAGACGAAGAGAAGGGUAAGGUAAAUGGAGAGAGACUUGCCAGGAGAGGAGAAGAGGACCCUUGGCUUUCGCGAGUAUUAUCUUGUCAGCAUGGAUAACGACACCUCAGCGUCGUAUCUACGGCCCUCAUCAAUUAUAAAUCCCACCCACCAAUCGCGAUAUCCCGAUGCCACGGCCGCAACCGCGGAUCGAAACGUCUCAUUAUCUUGCUGGUUAGACAUCGCGGUUUCGUCGAGCCAUCUCAACGAGAAAAGGAAAAGAAGGAUUUCUAGAUAGGGAGAUAGUCUUAAACGCGAGACGUUGCUAUAAUACGUUACUGUCUAAUUAUUAUUAUAAAUACUUGUACUAAUAAAAAAAUAUGUACGCAAUUUAA